GUUCCCCCAGUGGAGACCCUGCACAGUCCGCCCCGUGCAUCUGAGGCCCACGUGGCUGGGCGCCGAGUCGGGCUGCCUUCCUGGGGGCCGAGGCAGGGCUGGGGUGCCUGAUGCACACCCUCCGCCCCGUGCUCUGGUCCCCGAAGCCCCCUGGUCCCCAUUUGCAGAGCAGGCGACAGAGGCACUGAGGUCCCACAGCUGUGCACAGGAGGGACGCAGCUCUCGAGGGGCCGGGGGCUUCUGCCAGGGCCUGGGCAGCGAGAGCCUUCUGGCCCUCUGGAGGGUGUGUCUGCUCGGGGCUGGCCCUGCUGGCUUCCACUGCAGCACUGAUUGAGGGGGGCCACACAGGUCAGGCCCUGCCUCCUGGGCACAGGUGGACCUUCUGGGGUGUGCCCACUGCCCAUCCAGGCCUGCCCCGUGGGCACAUUGAUGGCAGCUCCAAGGAGUUCCUGGAGGCUGAGCCAGUGUGUCCAGAGGUCUCGCCAUGCUCUCCCUGAGACCCGCCAUGGCUCCCUAAGCCCCAGGAUGAGGAGGCUCUCCCCCUGUGGCUCCGCGGUCAGCAUCAUGCCGGGGCUGUCUCGGGGCCUGCGCCCGGGGCCUGUGGCAGCAUCCCCCUGGCACCCUCUCUGCACCCCUUCCUGCUUGUGCUCCUGUAACUGGCUGCUGUUUCCAGCGAGGCCACCGUGGUUGUCUGUCUCUGCAACGCGUGGAAGUCCCAGGCAGUGUCCCAGGGUGUGUCCCCUCACUCUAGAACAUGGCUGGCCCUCGAGGUCAGCGGGAGGUAGGAAGGUGGAGCCUUGGUCACAGUUGCCCAUCCACCUACCAUGAGAGAAGAGUCCCAACAGCUGCCCACCCUCCUGCGGACUGCAGGCCUCAGGGUCGGCCUAGAGCGUGCCACACUGGCCCCUGGGUCCCAGCCCUUGGAGAUCUGUCCCCUGACCUGGACAAGCAUCAGGGACCCAGGGUGGGCAGCAGUGCUGGACUGUGGCCAGGCGUGGGCCUGGCUGUGUCCCCCUCCAUGAGCUACAUCUUCCGGGAAGGAGCUGUGAGCGAGAGGCCCUCUCGAGGGCAGACCUGGGGCCACAUUGUCUGGGGUGGCACUGGAUCAGGAUGAGGGUCAGGAGCCC
rnacentral:lncRNA from 1 species